rnacentral:rRNA from 1 species
AUACGAAGGUCCCAAGCGUUAUUCGGAAUCACGGGGCGUAAAGAGUAUGUAGGCGGUUUGGUAAGUCAGGUGUGAAAUCCCGAAGCUCAACUUCGGAACUGCAUCCGAUACUGCUAGACUUGAGUAAUGGAGAGGCAGGUGGAAUUCUCGGUGUAGCAGUGAAAUGCGUGGAUAUCGAGAGGAAGACCAAUGGCGAAGGCAGCCUGCUGGACAUUUACUGACGCUGAGAUACGAAGGCUAGGGUAGCGAAAGGGAUUAGAAACCCGAGUAGUCC